CACCUACUCAGUACCCUUCACCCAACCCCUGCCUCGGGCGUGGACUCCCGGCGGAGGCUCUGGGAGCCGGGCUGAGGGCUUGAGCCUAGCGUAUCUGGGAGAACUGGAGAGAGGAGUCUCAGAUGGCUAAAGUCAGGGGCGCCAGUUGGAGAGCCGGUGGCUCCUCCGAUACUCACACGCCCGGAUUUAACCAGUUCAGGGAGGGCCCAGAACCUAGACCUCCACCAGUCAUGGUGGGCUGUGUCUCCCACCUCCCCAGGGCAACCCAGAUCCAGCCCCCAACCUACCCCGGGCCCAUUCCUGUGUGGGCACCCGGACCCUACCCUUGCCCCACAGAGUGGCCCGCAGCCCCUGGCGGGGAGAGCAAGGGCUGUGAUUGGGGCCCAACAGAAACAGGAUAUUCAGAAGGGGCUUUCCCUCCUGAGGGACCACAUCUCCAAGCUUCAGACUUCCAGACAAGUCCCAGGGCACGGACGUGACCCAUUACGAACAGGCAGUGAAGCUGUGGCAGGGCUGGAGCUGCCCCAGGCUCUGGCAUCAUCCCCGAGGGCUGGAGCUCACUCCCCGCUAGAGGCUUUUCCGGACCCCACGUCCACAGGCAGGUGCAUCUGGUGAAGCUUUCGGCCACAGUUGGAGUGCAGUGGUGCCAUCUCCCUUCACGACGAACUCCACCCCCCAUCCCCAGGAUCAAGCGAUCCUCCCACCUCAGCCUCCCAGAGCUGGGACCACAGAUGCGUGCCACCACGCCCAGAAACCCCCCGAGAGGCAGGGGCUGCCCGAGGUAUGCAGAACGAGCUCCCCAUUGGAGGCGUAUGUCAACAAGGGGAUGGCUAGAAUUUGGCAAAGCAUUUAUGGACUGGGGAGCUUGCGGCGUGAGACCAGUGUUCUCAAAGCGUGCUCUACGGAAUGCUACGGCAGGAUCACUUGGGAAGUUCAUCAGAAAUGCAGGUCCCUGGACCCCAGCACGGACCCACUGAAUCAGACUCAGAGGACACAGGGCCUGGAAUCUGGGUUUGUCACAAGCUCCCUCAAAUCUGACUCUCAUGCACAAUGACGUCUCCAAGCCACCGGACCGGAGAGCCCCUGAGGUCCCUUCUCCAGAGAUAACCUGGAUUCUCCCCAUUGUGGAGAUGGCAUCAAAGAGAACAGUGUCCUGGACAGGCGCAGUGGCUCACACCUAUAAUCCCAGCAUUCUGGGAGGCCAAGGGGGGCGGAUCAUGAGGUCAAGAGAUCGAGACCAUCCUGGCCAACAUGGUGAACCCCGUCUCUACUAAAAAUACAAAAAUUAGCUGGGCGUGGUGGCGCAUGCCUGUAGUCCCAGCUAUUCAGGAGGCUGAGGCAGGAGAAUCGCUUGAACCCAGGAGGCAGAGGUCGCAGUGAGCUGAGAUCGCACCACUGCACUCCAGCCUGGCGACAGUGCGAGACUCCGUCUCAAAAGUAAAAAAAAAAAAAAAGAGAGAGAGAGAGCAGUGUCCCAAGGAAGGGAUGAUCUGGAAGUCAGUGGGGCCCACACGCCCACUCAGGAAUCUGCAGGACGCAGGUGUGAGUUCAUUCUAUCCUUAUAGCCUGGGGUGUCAAUGGUGGUUGCCACCGCUCUACCUACUGGACAGGUGAGCAAACCAAGACCCAGAGAGGUUCAGUCACUUGGCCAGGGUCACACAGCUAGUGAGGAGCCAGGCUGGGAGUGGGAGCAGAUGGGCUGCUGCAGAGUCCUCGAGCCUGGGCUCUGCUGCCCUCUGCCCUCUGACCUAACCCACAGGCUCCAACCACCCAGACACCUGCAGUUUCCACCCAUUUUCCUAUCAGCUCCUCGUGGCUUUCUUGGCCGCCCAAAGCUGUUCACGUGAACGUGCCCUGCCCUUAGCUUCCUGCUCCCUUGUUCUGUGGACCCUGUUCACACACACCCUAAGGCCUCCUCCCUCCCUGGGCCCCUGCUGAAAGAGAAGCCGAUCUCCUGUCUCAGGAGCCAGUGCCGGCCGGCAAAGGGGACCUUCCUCUACUUCCUGCCACAGACCCUGUCCCCACACACUUCCUGCCCCUGCUCUGCUGGGAGGCCACUUCCUCCCCCAGUGCUGGAUUCCACCCCCAGCUCACCCUCAAACAUGGCCCCCUCUCUCCUCCUGCUUGCCCCUCUCUGCUCCCUGGAGGCUGUUCUGUCCUCCCCUCUUGAAAAGCAAUGCCAGCUUCCUGGGAUCUUCUGCCAACUCCAGCUACCAUGCCCUUUGCUCCUGUCAGCUCAGCUCCUCAAGGGAAUUGUCUACCCUCGGUGUCCUGCUUCCCCUCCCUCACCCUCCUCACCCUGCUCCAAGCUGGCAUCUGCCCCUCCACUGCACAGAACGGCUCCCCCACCACCUGCCUUUACAGGGAGGAAGCAGCAACAUGGAGGAACCGAACUAUAGGGGCUACAAGGAUUGCUCAGCUCUGAUCCCCGAAGGCCAAAAGGCAUCUUUGGCCACGGGGCUCCGGGCAGGUGGGAAGGCAGGGAAGGGGGCGGGAGGCUCUGGGAUGGUGGUGCAAAGCAUUGUGGCUGGAGGCCUCCAAGCCAAGGAAGGGCCACAGGGAGCCCUGAGGUGGG
rnacentral:lncRNA from 1 species